rnacentral:rRNA from 1 species
UGGGGAAUUUUGGACAAUGGGCGAAAGCCUGAUCCAGCAAUGCCGCGUGUGUGAAGAAGGCCUUCGGGUUGUAAAGCACUUUUGUCCGGAAAGAAAUCCUUGGCUCUAAUACAGUCGGGGGAUGACGGUACCGGAAGAAUAAGCACCGGCUAACUACGUGCCAGCAGCCGCGGUAAUACGUAGGGUGCAAGCGUUAAUCGGAAUUACUGGGCGUAAAGCGUGCGCAGGCGGUUUGCUAAGACCGAUGUGAAAUCCCCGGGCUCAACCUGGGAACUGCAUUGGUGACUGGCAGGCUAGAGUAUGGCAGAGGGGGGUAGAAUUCCACGUGUAGCAGUGAAAUGCGUAGAGAUGUGGAGGAAUACCGAUGGCGAAGGCAGCCCCCUGGGCCAAUACUGACGCUCAUGCACGAAAGCGUGGGGAGCAAAACAGGAUUAGAUACCCUGGUAGUCCACGCCCUAAAACGAUGUCAACUAGUUGUUGGGGAUUCAUUUCCUUAGUAACGUAGCUAACGCGUGAAGUUGACCGCCUGGGGGAGUACGGUCGCAAGAUUAAAACUCAAAUGAAUUGACGGGGUCAUAGCUGUUUCCU